rnacentral:tRNA from 1 species
AAGGAUUUAAGUUAAAUAAACUUGUAGUCUUCAAAACUACCUAUAAAGAUCCAUCUUUAAGCCUUA